CCCAGUGAUUCCCUGAGCCGCCAGGACCCGGAAGCUGUGGAUGGAGGGAGAGGUGGGUAGCCGGGGUGGGAAUCCCGGCAGCACCCCACGUUAAUUACCCCAGCCCCCAGGCGUGUCCCAGCUCGUGACCGUCGGGCGAAUGGACCCAGCGGUGCUAGUGCAUCCUGACAGUGGGACCCCACUCUCGACCACGACACAGGCACCAACAGCAGUGUGCUGAGAGAAGGAAGCCGGACACGAAUCUUCCCGCUGGCAUCGUCACCAUCACUGCCUUGUCGUCAGCAUCAGAUCCUCAAAGCAGCUCUUCAAAUCCAACCCCUACAUUUGGCAGGAGGCAGGAUCAGAGACGGCAAGCCUUCUCGCCAAGGUCACACAGCAGCGAUGCAGAGCCACCACCCACAACACGAGGCCGGUGCUUAGGGUUCAGUGAGUGACUCUCAGCCAGGUGGAAACCAGGCAACGGGGCAUCGAAAGCCUUGCUCCUGAGACAGGAGAGGAGUUCCCGCUGGGCUCACAUUUCCAAUCAACCUUACUUGGCGAGAGUUCCUCCCGUCCUCCAGGCCUUGCGGCAACUGGCUUCUCAGGUGGCCCGGCCGCGAAGGGCCUGAUCGGGAAGCCAGGGCUCGCCCCCCGCCCCCACGCCACUGCCACCGCUGCUGUCCCAGCAAGGGCCCUGAGGUUUCCAGCCCCCCUGGGCUUUGCUUUUCCAGGUCCUUCCCGGCCCAGCCCCACCAGGGACGCCGUGGUCGGUGAGGCCGGGAACAGCUGCCCGGCACCUCCCAAAAGCCUCAAACAUGGCACGCGGCGGGAGCCCCCGGCCAUCACGCUGCCACGCGGUGAAUCGGGCACCAUCGGAGUCACAAAGACCCAUUAAAACGAGAGGAGAAACAGCUUUCCGAUCCCCCAGAGCACCCCGGCCAGCUGCUCCCCGCUCCCACCUCGUUGCCCCCGCGGGGCUGCUCCCUCCGCGCCCGGCCACCUGCCCCUGACAGCGGGGAUAUUGAUGCCGCCUCCUGGGCCCGGGCGUCGGCCGCUGGGGCCGAGGGGCAGAGGCCCCGCAGAGGCAAACAGCUCCCGGAUGUUCGACUCAAUGGCUGUGAGGAGAGAUGAGAAAUUGCCUUUCUGACCCAAAACCGGAGUUCACAGCUGCACUUCAUUACAGAUUUCUCCAGGAGGCCCUGGGAGAGGCCAGCUCGGAAGGGCUCACCUGUUAACAGCAGCUGCGCCUGCCUCUUUCAUAAGCACGUUGGUGGUUUCCUGCCCGGGGCUGCGGGGGCAGGAGGUGCGGGCGGCACGGGCGGGCUGCCAGCGGUGCCCCGAAGCCCCCCCACCCCUGCCACUUUGCAUUAACUCAGCGGAUGGAGGGAGGAAGAGGCGCCAGAUAAGUGAGCGGGAGGGAGAGGAAAUGGCCACAGACCUGGGCCUUGCUCUCCUUAGAAGGUACCAGAAGGCAGGGGACACAUCUUCCCCCCGGGGGCCCCACCUUGUUCCUCUGAGUCUCACGUCCGCUUCGCUGGGCUAACGUGCACCUGUGUCAGGGGCCUGGAGCACCUCGGGGUACGUAGCAGCUGCUCAAUAAAUGCCCCCUCCCCUCCGCCCUUACAGCAGCCGCUCCGUGCUUUUCAAAUGCCACCGUUCAAUACCUGGCAGUUACUUAAAGAGCACAGGAACCAGGGGUUCUCCACCCUGGCUGCAUGUUAGAAUCAUCUAGAGGGCUUGUGGCGCUCAGAGCCAGCUUCGGCAGGAGGAGAGCCAGGCUGAGGAGACAGCCCUCGCCAGCCACCAGGCUGCCCUGCCCUUCCUUCCAGCUGUGCUCUCCCGCCCCCAUUAAGGUUUUCACUCAUGUCCCCCAACAGUGAGACAGAGCAGGCCCUGAGGUAUAGGAAGCCGUCCCCCGAGGCUGCCACCCCAGGAUAGAGCAUAUCAGCCUGGCAGUGAGAAGCUGUGUGAUGCCAGGCAAGUAGCUUAACUUCUCUGGGCCUUUGCCGACAAGGCUGGGUACUGGCUGGGUACAGACAGCCUCAAAGAUGUGCCUGGAAGGCACCCUAGAGUCUGGCCUCACACCUAAAAUCCUGUCUCAUUUCUUCUUCUGUGCGUUUCUGAGCUCUUUGUGGUCUGGGCGGAAAUGGGGUUUCAGUUCAGUCUCUGCCACUAGAUCCCUGCGUCAUGCCAAAAAAGCUGCGCCCUGCAAAGCCUCAGUCACCUCACCUGGGAAGUGGGAAGGACGCACCAACCUCACAGGUCAUUGUGAGGGUGAAACAGGCACCCAGCAAGCGCCUGGCCCAGUGGCGGUGACGGCUGGCGUGUCCUGAGUCCUGAGACCUCACGGCACACCCGCGGGGCAGGUUCUUUUAGGAGCCACAUUCUCCAGGUGAGAAAGCCAAGGUCUGGAGAGGUCACUCACCCAAGGUCAACUGGUAAGGCUGGGAUGUGAACCCUGAACUUGUGAGUCCAAGGUCCUGGCCCCCACAUGCUCCCAUGGGCCUCCUGCUGGUGCCUCUUCUUGUCCUAGACCCUCCCAACAGGGCCACCAGGACCUCGGUACGGCCGGAGCCGAUGGGUUGCAGGACCAGGACACACACAGGGCCCUGGGCCGUGAAGGGGGUGGGAGGGCUGUGCCCCCCAUCUCGCCUGUGCCCUCCACUCAUGUCCAGGAAUAGAGCAGGGAAGGCACGGGGGCCCAGGGUGAGUCCACACGGGGUCAGCGCCUGGA